rnacentral:rRNA from 1 species
CCUACGGGGGGCAGCAGUGAGGAAUAUUGGUCAAUGGACGCAAGUCUGAACCAGCCAUGCCGCGUGCAGGAAGACGGCUCUAUGAGUUGUAAACUGCUUUUGUACGAGGGUAAACGCAGAUACGCGUAUCUGUCUGAAAGUAUCGUACGAAUAAGGAUCGGCUAACUCCGUGCCAGCAGCCGCGGUAAUACGAAGGAUUCAAGCGUUAUCCGGAUUUAUUGGGUUUAAAGGGUGCGUAGGCGGUCGGAUAAGUUAGAGGUGAAAUCCCGAGGCUCAACUUCGGAAUUGCCUCUGAUACUGUUCGGCUAGAGAGUAGUUGCGGUAGGCGGAAUGUAUGGUGUAGCGGUGAAAUGCUUAGAGAUCAUACAGAACACCGAUUGCGAAGGCAGCUUACCAAGCUACUUCUGACGCUGAGGAGCGAAAGCGUGGGUAGCAAACAGGAUUAGAUACCCCAGUAGUC